rnacentral:rRNA from 1 species
GAUGAACGCUGGCGGCGUGCCUAAUACAUGCAAGUCGAGCGAACGGACGAGAAGCUUGCUUCUCUGAUGUUAGCGGCGGACGGGUGAGUAACACGUGGAUAGCCUACCUAUAAGACUGGGAUAACUUCGGGAAACCGGAGCUAAUACCGGAUAAUAUUUUGAACCGCAUGGUUCAAAAGUGAAAGACGGUCUUACUGUCACUUAUAGAUGGAUCCGCGCUGCAUUAGCUAGUUGGUAAGGUAACGGCUUACCAAGGCAACGAUGCAUAGCCGACCUGAGAGGGUGAUCGGCCACACUGGAACUGAGACACGGUCCAGACUCCUACGGGAGGCAGCAGUAGGGAAUCUUCCGCAAAGGGCGAAAGCCUGACGGAGCAACGCCGCGUGAGUGAUGAAGGUCUUCGGAUCGUAAAACUCUGUUAUUAGGGAAGAACAUAUGUGUAAGUAACUGUGCACAUCUUGACGGUACCUAAUCAGAAAGCCACGGCUAACUACGUG